rnacentral:lncRNA from 1 species
AACUCGUGUGGAAGAUGCCAAGGCCCUGAUAGCUGCCAGCAACCUAAAGAUUAUAGCCUGUGAUAACUUAGAUGAGGCUGCUAAAAUGGUGGUGAAGCUGUCCUACAUUGUCAGCAUUGCUAAGGAGGCUGCUGUGGAUGUUAAGUUUGAGCUGCCUUUGUAAAGUGGCUUAUCUAACUUGUGAUGGAAUCCUGUGGUAUGCUCCCGUUGAUGAGAUGUUUUGGAAAUUUUAGCCGUAAAGAUGUUGGUGAAAGUUUGUAACAUAAUGAAAAGGAUGAAUCUGUCUGUUCCAUUGUUUGUAUGGAGAUAUAGAGCUACAGUAUCAAUAUACAAUACAGUCUGCAGGGAAGGUUUUAAUCUUCCCAGGAUGGAAAUGUGGUCAAGGACAAUUAUUGUGUUAAUAAAUACAAGAUACAAGUCAGGUUUUGUCCAUUUAGAAUGUGUCCUAUCGCUUUGGUAACUAUGAAUGCCAAGUAACAUUUUUUCCUGUUAAAUGUUGAGAGAAGAUUAUCAUGACGUUUAAUUCCCAUUUAGGAAAUACAUGUACUAGUUGCAAUGGUAUGGAUGAAAUUCAGAACCAAAAAUAUUGUAUGUAACACAGGUAGAUGGAACAAAUUAGAGGAAAUCUACUCAUGAUCAAAAUUACAAAAAGAAUUACAACUUUAUCUUUGUCAUACUACAAUCUGCCACACAAAGUCAAAGGUCACUGCAUAAUGUAAAGAUCCUCAGUCAAGGCUUCUGCUACCUCUGAACCUGCAGACAGCUGCGAUGAGAGUGCUCCAUAAUAGUGCUCAUUGUUAUGAUUUUUUUUUAUACCUGUAGUAUUUUCUUUAAGUUUGUAUUAAUUUUAUUUGUUAAAUAAAUGAGAACAUCUGUACAAAUGUACUGUACCAGUACAUUUUGUACUUCAUCUUGUUGGCCAAGGCUUUUUUACUCUGUUUAAGUGUUACUGCAUGUUCAGAUUUGAACCCAUGGUUAGCAGAGAAUGCAUUUCUUAAGAUAUUAAUACACUUUUUAAAUUGAAGAUAUUUUUGAAUGAAUGCUCUGUGUGUACGUGUGUUUAAGGCCAAUGCCCAAAAACCCUCAUUAAAUGGACUCAAGAAACCAAAUUUGCUCCAUUUUAAAUAGAUUUCUCUUUCUGAUUUACUUAUUAUAAGUUUGAUAAAAUAUAAAAUGAAAUUUAUGAGUUCAACAAUACGUUAACCCGAUUCAUUUACAAAAUAUAUUACAGCAAUUUUGUUUUUUAUUUUGUAUUUCUUUUAAUUCCAAAAUAUAUUUGAUGCUGCAAAAAGUUACCAUUGACAUUUUUAUCAUUGAAAUUUGAUAACACUAGAGCUUGAGAAUAAUCUUUUAGGAAAAGCUGGCAGUUAUCCUCUGCCAAUAUUUUGUGAUUGACAGCUGAUCAGGUUGUUGUGUGUAGGGUUAGUGUUGUGUGAACCAGUAUGCAAGGUAGGUGUAAAUAUAGAUCUGUGUUAAUGUACAUACUCCUACAGUGUAGACCAGCAUGUCAGUCGAAACAUUUACUUCUAUUGGUGAAUAUUGAGAUAAAGUAUUUAAACAAUUUCAA